CGCACAAAGUGCCAGGAAAGAAUUAUUCAAGCCCUUCCCAGAAGGUAUCCUUCUGGCAAGGGUACUGUACUAAACUAACUAAAGUGGGGGAUAGUGAGGGGAUAAAUUUUCUUAAGGAACUCGGCAAAAUCCCAAUGGCCCACCAGGGCAUAUUGGAACACGGGCCUCGACUGUUUACCAAAAACAUAGCCCUCGGCUAAUAUGAAAAUAGAUGUAUAGAGGGUGAUGCCUGCCCAAUGGUUGUAUCUAAAAGCGGUUGAUAAAAGUUGACCUCGUAAGGACAAUUGAAUGGCCGCGGUAACACUGACCGUGAUAAUGUAGCGUAAUCAAUAGCCAAUUAAUUGUUGGCCAGUAUGAAUGGCGCCACGAAGGCCCCACUGUCUUAAGGAAAUUCCCAGUGAAAUUGAAUUCGUAGUGAAGAUGCUACGUCCAAUUUGUUAGACGAAAAGACCCCGUUGAGCUUUACUGGAGCACUUACAUGGCCCCGGCCUUCCCAUGCCUGGGAACCGGCCGAAUUUAAAUGGGCGGCUUAGAUUAUGUGGCAGCCCCCCGCUGGGGCAAAUGAAACACCACUCCCCCAUGUCAAAGGGGCUAACCCCCCCCCUUGGGGGGACAGUGUAAGUAGGACAGUUUGGUUGGGGCGACCACCUUUUAAAAAGUAACGAAGGUGCGCUUAAGGUGCGCAAUUAAUGACUGAAGCCUGACUGCGAGGGGGACACCCCGAGCAGACACCCCAAAGCCCGCCCGAAAGGCGGCGGUGGGGUGGGCCAUAGUGACCCGUUAAUUUAGAGUGGAAUAGUUAACGAUCAACGAAUAAAAGUUACCACGGGGAUAACAGCGUAAUAUCGUUAGAGAGUUCACAUCGACGACGAUGUUUGCGACCUCGAUGUUGAAUUGCGGCAUCCUGGGGUGCAGCCGCUCCAAGUG
rnacentral:rRNA from 1 species